rnacentral:misc_RNA from 1 species
GAAAUUUCAAUUUUUUAUUCAAAAAUUUAAUCUUAAUAAAAUAUUAAAGUAUAUGUAUAUAUAACAUAAUAUUAAGA